ensembl:lncRNA
AACCUAGAGUAACAGGCUCCAAAUCAGAUUUAAAUGCCCUUUUGGAGGUACAAUUUAGACUUACAAUCAUAGCAAGAAUAUAAGACUAAAACAAUACAAAGCUCCCUUUUAGUAUUUUUAUUAUUACUAUUUCCUGCUUUUCCUUUUAAGACAAUUCAUUUAUACACCUACCUGGAAUACUGGCAUCUAGCAUCAACCAAUUGCCAUCUCCCUGCACUCCUUGUAUCUCACCUUAGUGCCCACACCCACCCAAAAUGAGAAUCAUUUUCAGGAAUAUCAGUGUUUUUCUGCUCAACCAUCAUCUCUACAGCUUCUUGAUUUCUCUCCAUUCAGGUGUCCAGUAAUGCCUAAAUUCCAUUAUAGAGCAAAGGCAGGUUAAAAACUACUCCUCUGCAAUGGAAGUCACCAUAUCUGAAAGCCAUCAGUCACCAUUUCCACUAGACACACCAUGUGUGAUAUCUCACGCAAUUUAGGGAUUUCAAGUCACCCCUUGUAGUAUGGAAGGUAAGUGGCCUCUCAGUAUCUAAUGGGGAGCUGCAGGCAAGAAGGGGACAGACUCUUUAGCAGGAUCUGUGGUGACAGAACAAGGGGAAAUGGCUUCAAGCUCAAAGAGGGUAGAUUUAGGUUAGAUAUAAGGAAUAAGUCUUUCAAUGUGAGGGUGGUAAGGCACCGGAACAGGUUGUCCAGAGACGUGGUUGGUGCCCCAUCCCUGGAGACUUUCAAGGUGAGGCUGGAUCAGGCCCUGGGCAACCUGAUCUAGCUGCGGAUGUACCUGUUCACAGCAGGAGAGUUGGACUGGGCGACUUUUAAAGGUCCCUUCUAACUCUAAGGAUUCUAUGAUUCUAUGAUUCAUAAGAGCGUCACAGCAUCUCUCUUCUGCCAGAUCAGGAUAUCAGUGAAAUCUCACAUUUUGGGAUUUUUUUUUAGGUUGUAAGACAUCUUAAAGUCAACGGCUAAGAUGUUCCCAGUGCAUCCUGCCCUGGAAAUGUCUCUUCAUCUCCGGUAGACAUGUAGAGUUUGUAGAAUCUCAUCCCGUGUAUAUGGAAUCAUAGAAUCAUUAAGGUUGGAAAAGACCUCUAAGAUCAUGUAGUCUAACCAUCAAUCUACCACCAAUAUGACCCACUAAACUAUGUCCCUAAGUACUACAUCUGCCCUUUCC